rnacentral:rRNA from 1 species
UCUGUUCAAUAAGUCAAAACGACUCUCGGCAACGGAUAUCUCGGCUCUCGCAUCGAUGAAGAACGUAGCGAAAUGCGAUACGUGGUGUGAAUUGCAGAAUUCCGUGAAUCAUCGAGUUUUUGAACGCAAGUUGCGCCCAAAGCCAUUUGGUUGA